AAAAAAAAAAAAAAAAAAGAAGAAGUGGGGCUUUCCAGAGGUGAUUAAGUCAUGAGAGUGGAGCCCUCGUGAGUGGCAUUAGGCUUGACUGACUUACAAAAAAUCUUAACCAACUGUGUUCAGCCCUUUUCCCUUUCUGCCCUCUGCCAUGUGAGGUCACAGUGUUCCUCCCUCCUGAGGAUGCAGUGUUCAUGAAAGCAAACACUGGGCCCUCACCAGGCAACAAACCUGCUGGUGCCUUCAUCUUGGACUUCCCAGCCUUCGGAACUCAAAUGUUUAAAUGGAUUGCAACCAUUUGGAACCUGAGAGGUUUCAUAUGAAUAUGAAGAAUUCUGGCUUAUUUGAGUAACAGGAUAAUCUCUUAGCACUGGGCCAGCAUUCCUGCAAGGCACCCAUUGGCUCUUGCUGACCAGUGGCUUCUCGUUGCAGAUGGAGCCCGCACUCUCCAGUUCAUCACCACCCCAGCAUCCCUACUCUUGCAUCUAACAGUUUCCGCUAUUUUGCACCACCUGCCUGGCCCUUAUGGGCAACUCAAGGAAGAAAGGAAAGAAGAGAUAGAGGAAAAAUGGAUUCAACAAAUGAAAGUGUUCUUUCUGACUACUGCUGUGUUUACAAACAUUUUAAUCAUCAAAACAUGCUUUAUUUGAUAGAAAGAUCAAAUCUGCCUUUGUAAAACAAGAGACUAUUUUAAUCAUUAAGACAACACACAUGUUUGAUUUGGAGGCGUGUUCUCAUUCAAAACCUUGCAAAAUAUAAUUUCUUCUUGUCUGGGAGAUGGUGUCUUUCUUCGGGGAGAACCUUGAGAGAAAUGUCUAUGAAUGUGUCUGUAGAUUGAGGAUAGGCCAACAAACAUAUUUUGAAAUAUUUUUUCUUUCUUUUAAAAAAAUAGAUACUUUUAAAAGAAAAUGCUUAUUUAAAUUACAUAGCUCUUUUUUUCACUCUCAGUCAUCAUUUGUGGUUUCAGUCAGUACUACAUUUAUUCCCCAGAGCUAGGAUUGCUGUGUUUUUAGAAAGGGAGCCUGUUUGAAGGGACUCUAUACUCUUGCAGUAAUUAAAAUCCUUUUAGGAGUCUUUGACUUUGACUUACUGCUUUGUUUUAAAUUAUUGAAAUUAUUCAACUUCCCCAUUCUAACCCACGGAAGGCUGUUGUUGUUCUCAUUUAUAAUGGCACAAUAUAAGUUUAAAGAUAGCUGUCUCCACAUGAAUGCAUCUGCAAAUCCAUCUCUCUUCUCUCUUCUGCCAUCCAGGUUAAGAAGCUCCACUGCGCUUUGUCCAUUGCAAGUUGAGAAGUGAGGCCCCAGCUGUCACAUACAGUGAGUGAAGAAGCUGAGCUUCCCUCAACGCCUGGGCCUGUAUGAAUUUUUUUUUUUUUUUUUUUUUUGGAGACGGAGUCUCACUUUGUUGCCCAGGCUGGAGUGCAAUGGCACUAUCUCAGGCCACUGCAACCUCUGCCUCCCAGGUUCAAGCGAUUCUUCUGCCUCAGCCUCCUGAGUAGCUGGGAUUACAGAAGUGCACCAUUACAGCUUGCUAAUUUUUGUAUUUUUAGUAGAGAAGGGUUUUCACCAUGUUGGCCAGGUUGGUCUCGAACUCUUGGCCUCAGGUGAUCCGCCCGCACAGCCUCCCAAAGUGUUGGGAUUACAGGCGUGAGCCACUGCGCCCGGCCUUAGGUAAGUUCCUUUUUUUUUUUUUUUGAGACGGAGUUUCACUCUGUUGCCCAGGCUGGGGUGCAAUGGCAUGAUCUCGGCUCACCGCAACACUUUCACCUCCACCUCCUGGGUUCAAGCGAUUCUCCUGCCUCAACCUCCCAAGUAGCUGAGAGUAAGGCGCUCACCACCAUGCCCGGCUAAUUUUUGUAUUUUUACGUGUUAGCCAGGAUGGUCUCCAACUCCUGACCUCGUGAUCCACCAACCUCGGCUGGGAUUACAGGCCUGAGCCACCACGCCGGCCCAUAACACAUUUUCUUUAUCGAUUCAUCUAUCGAUGGGCAUUUAGAUUGUUUCCACAUCUUGGCUAUUGUGAAUAAUGCCGGGGUGAACAUGGGUGUGCAAAUACUAUAUAUCUUUCCUUUUUAAGGCUGAAUAAUAUUUCUUGGUAUGUACAUAACACAUUUUCUUUAUCCAUUCAUCUAUCGAUGGGCAUUUAGGUUGUUUCCACAUCUUGGCUAUUGUGAAUAACGCCGCUGUGAACACGGGUGUGCAAAUACUAUAUCUCUUUGAAAUCCUGCUUUCAAUUCUUUUGGAUAUGUAGCUAGAAGUAGAAUUGCUGGAUCAUAUGUUAAGUAUAUUUUUAAUUUUUUGAGGAACUUCCAUUCUGUUUUCCAUAGCAGCUGCAUCAUUUUACAUUCCCACGAACUGCACAAGUGUUCCAAAGAGCAUGGGUAUUUUUAAAAGCUCUUUCAGUAGAAGCUUUCUGUUUAUUAUCUUUUGCUUUCCUUUUUUCUUCUCCACCAUUACCUUAACACAACCUAUCUCGUUUACCCAGGCUGGAGUGCAGUGGCAUGAUCCUCUGGAAUAGCUGGGAUUACAGGGGCGCACCAUCACCCCCGGCUAAUUUUUAUAUUCUAACAGAGACAGGGUUUCACCAUGUUGGCCAGGCUGGUCUCAAACUCCUGACCGUGCCCGGCCAUAAAAUACUUUUUUCUAACAAAAUCGAAAGUUUUUACUGUUUUUUCUUUUCUUAAACACAUUGUGACGUAUUAAAGUAUGCUUGAAUAAUUUAUUGUAUAACUUUACCUCCCACCCCAUCAUAAUAGUGUUCUCUGGAGGUUUAACAUUCUUUUAAGCACCCUCACCCCAUAACUGUUUUUCACAAUUGUUAAAUAAAUUUUCUAACAUAAUUUGUCAAUUUGUGUGCUAAAAUCUGUUUUCCGUGUACAAAUGUAUCUGAGUCACUUUUCUUCUUGCCACUUUCAAGAAGACCUGCUACAAUACAAGGUAUUUUUCAAAAUAUGUAACAGCCAGGGCCCUGGAAUCAAACUGAGCUGACCAAUCAGCAGGCUCUCUUCCUGCGGGGGCGGGGAGCGGUUGAAGAAGGAUGGGAGGAUUGUGGUGAGGGGGAGCCGUGGAGAGACAGGCACUCACAAGCCAGAACAGGGCACUGACCCAUCAGAAUGGGCACUGACUUUAAGCAGCCUCUUUGUUCACACCAGUGCUGCCGUCCUUGGUGACCAUCAGCCCCAGCCUUCAGAGAGAGAAAGAGAGACAGAGACAGAGCUUGUGAUCUGCCCUCCUCGGCCUCCCAAAGUGCUGGGAUUACAGGCGUGAGCCACCGUGGCCAGCCUUGAAUAUAUUUUUAGUUUAGGGAAUCUUCCAAAAUACAAAGCACUCCUAGUUAGGUAUCAGUGAGUUUGAAUUAUUGGUAAGAGUUUGAAUUAUUGACAAAAUGCCAAAAAUAUUGUUUGAUUUCACAUAACAAGCUUGUUAGAUAUAUUUUUGUGGAAAAGAAUGAAAAAUGGUUUUAUUUUGCACCCACAUUGCAGUAGUUCAGCAGUGUAGAUACUGUUUUCCCUCAGCACCUUGAAGAUACUACUUCACUGGCUUCUUUGUGGCAUUUAAUCUCUCAAUUGAGAAGACAGUUGACUAAUUGUCAUUCCUAAUUGUCAUUCCUUUGCUCCUAAUCUGUCUUUUAUCUCUGAUGGCUCACUGCAGCCUCAAUCUCCCGGGCUCAAGGCAUCCUCCCGCCUCAGCCUCCUGAGUAGCUGGAACUGCAGAAGUGAGCCACUGUGCAUGGCUAAUUUUUUUAUUUUUAGGUUAAGGUCAAGGUCAUGCUGUGUUGCUGAGGCUGGUCUCAAACCCUUGACCUCUCAAAAUGCUGAGAUUACAGAGAAGAGCCACCAUGCCAGGCCUAAUUUUAACUAGAGUGAAUUCAUACUCUUAACUGGGGAGGUGGAAUUCAUAUUCUUUCUUAUGUAAAAUAUUUUAAUGUGGUUUUGAAUUUUACUUUGCAGGAGGCUAUUCUGAGCAGAAAGAGCUGUAGUCUUUUAUUUUCUGUUUCCUGUUCCCUCCAUGCUCACUUUUUCCUACCUGACAGUAUUGCCUUUACCUCCACAUGGCAGCCUGGGACCUCAGUUCAGAGCAGAAACACAGCAUUUUUUCUUGGUAUUCCUGCCUUAGUUUGAUAUUGUAAAUAUCACAAUAUCACAAUUGUCACAACAUUUACAAUAUCAAAAUAAGCCAGGAAUACCAAAAAAUUAAACCCACAUGUCAAUUUGAGAAAAAUUUAUAGGACUAUGACAUGCAUUAAUUUGUCUUCUAAAAAAUCUUCCAUUAAAGUGUUGUAUUUUUUUCUUUUGAUUCCUUCAUUACAUCAGGCUCUGUCCUUGAAUUCCUUUCCCAUCUUCUGCUUCCAUACCUUUAAGCCAUGGGGUAUCCAACUUUUUUUCAGGCUCCAUCACAAGAGGGAGCCCCAUUGCUAGUCCCCAUCCUCAAAGCCUCUGCGUGAUGUUGUCUACUGUUACUCUUCACUACCCUGUGGGAGCCAAAGCCCUGGACAUAAGAACAGAAGGCAACUGUCUCUACUAAAACUACAAAAAUUAGCUGGGCAUGGCGGCACGUGCCUAUAACCCCAGCUACUGGGCUGAAGUAGGAGAAUCACUUGACCCUGGGAGGCGGAGGUUGCAGUGAGCAAAGAUCGAAUCGGCUUCAAAAAAAAAAAAAAGUUAUGUUCAUUUUUUAUUUGACAAGCUAUUUUAUACAUUUUAGUUUUUAUUUCUUUUUUAAAUUUACCAAUAAAGCAAAGGCAAACCAUUUAGUUUUUAUUUCUGAUUACAAAAGCAAUAACUUUUUUUUUUUUUUUUCUUUUUUUUUUUUUUUGAGAUGGAGUUUCACUCUGUUGCCCAGAUUGGAGAACAGUGGCCGAUCUCAGGUCAAUGCAACCUCUGCCUUCCAGGCUCAAGCAGUUCUCCUGCCUCAGCCUCCCAAAGUGUUAGAUUACAGGCAUGAGCUACUGCUCCAGCCACAAUAACUCUUAAUUAUAGAAAAUUAUUAAAAUUCAGGAAAGGAGAAAUACUAGUUUAGAGAAUGGUGAGUGGGAUGCUUUAUGGAUGCCUCCUCUUUGAAGAUGUGCCUUGAAAGAGGAGGAUUUUAGCAGUAGGAUUGUGAAGAAAGAAAAGAAAAAGGGUAUUUUAAAGGGGGGGAUGGAAUCCAGAUAUGGAAAUAAAAAUAUUCCACAUGCUUCACAGGAUGUUGCUGGGUACAUGGAGUAAGGGUGGAUAUAUAGAUAAAGCUGGAAAUGAUUCGGGAUGAGAUUUUGCAGAUAUUGAAUGUAAAGGAGUUUGGCAUUUAUUCUUCAGGAAAUGAAAAUUCAAGUUCUUAGCCGGGUGCGGUGGCUCGCACCUGUAAUCCCACUGUCCCUCUCUCCACAGGCAGUGGUGGCUGAGAGGAAGAACUGACACCUUUGUGCUAUCAGAGCACUUUGCAGAGGAGCUGUUAGUGGCCCUGUAGGAGUCUGCUGGCCAUACAUCUGGGUGUCAAAUCAAGAGAGCAUGAGAAGUUGGACAGGAAAGGUCCAAGGCAAAAUGGUUACUAAAGGCCAUCCCUGAUCCUGACCCUAAAAGAAGAAAAGGCCCUUUGCUCUUGGCAUGCUUUUGCAGGAGUGUCUCAGUCUGUUUGGGCUGCUAUAACAUUGACUGGGUGAUCUGCCUGCCUGGCCUCCCAAAGUGCUGGGGUUACAGGUGUGAGCCGCUGCACCAGGCCUUGAGGUCAGGAGUUCGAGACCAGCCUGGCCAACAUGGUGAAACCUGUCUUUACUAAAAAUACAGAAAUUAGCCAGGCAUGGAGGCGCAUGCCUGUAAUCCCAGCUACUGGGGAGGCUGAGGCAGGAGAAUCGCUUGAACCCAGAAGGUGGAGGUUGCGGUGAGCCCAGAUAGUGCCAUUGCACUCUAGCCUGGCCAACAAGAGUGAAACUCUGUCUCAAAAAAUAAAUAAACAAACAAACAAA
rnacentral:lncRNA from 1 species